UACGAAGGGGGCUAGCGUUGCUCGGAAUCACUGGGCGUAAAGCGCACGUAGGCGGCUUGCUAAGUCAGGGGUGAAAUCCUGGAGCUCAACUCCAGAACUGCCUUUGAUACUGGCGAUCUUGAGUCCGGGAGAGGUGAGUGGAACUGCGAGUGUAGAGGUGAAAUUCGUAGAUAUUCGCAAGAACACCAGCGGCGAAGGCGGCGCUCUGGGCCGGUACUGACGCUGAGGAGCGAAAGCGUGGGGAGCAAACAGG
rnacentral:rRNA from 1 species